CUUAUUCCCCCAUCUUCACAUUCCCCAAAACAGUCGCACGGCACCCAUCAAAAACUCCAUCCCCAAUCUUUGGAUGUCCAUCCCCACCUACCUUCCAGUUCAACCCAAUGUCACAUGAUGCAAAAGCGAUAUGUUCUUUCAUAUCACCACCGUCUCCCCAAUAAGCAUGCCAGUUACUUGAGCCACUGCUAUGGAGAUGUUGUUGGAAGGCUUAGGGCUUUCUACCGGUUGUAAGGAAGAAUGCUUCGUUAGCCAUCCGGCUUCCGGCGAAACACCGGCGAAUGAAGUUGGGAAGGGGAAGAGAAAGCCGGUAGAUCCGGUUUUGAUGUAUCUUGAUUAUCCGUAGCGGAAGAGACAAAGAAAUAAAUACUAUAAGCUAUUCAAGAGGCUAAUGGCAAUAUUGUAAUUUCUGGAAACUUGAGUGGUUGUGUUGUUGGUGGCAUAUGCCACCGACAUUUCUCUUUAAUACUAUACUAGUAAUAUGACCCGUGCGCCGCAGGUCCAUUGUAAAUAUCAAAUUAAUUAGUCUAUGCGUCAUAUGAUGCGUUAAUCA